rnacentral:misc_RNA from 1 species
AACGCACGAGACCUGCGGACCUGCGGAGGGAUCAUUACCGAGUUUACAACUCCCAAACCCCAUGUGAACAUACCUGUUUCGUUCCCUCGGCGGUGUCCGGCAACGGCCCGCCAGAGGACCCAACAAACUCUUUUGAAUUUUUCAGUAUCUUCUGAGUGAAAAAAACAAUAAAUCAAAACUUUUAGCAAUGGAUCUCU